AUUAAACUUAUAUAAAUAACUAUUUCCACAUACAAAGCAGUUCGAGAAAUUAGUUUUAAAAAUAC
rnacentral:tRNA from 1 species